AUGGAGAGGCGGGGGGCAGAGGAUGGCGGCGCCGUAGGGGCGGAGGAGAAGAGGGGUGCAAAGUGGGAUCCAGCAGGGGCGGAGGUGCUGCUGAAGAGAGAAAGUGUUGUGCCGAAGACGGACGACGGGGAAGUAGUGGAGGAGGAGGUCGAGGCAGUGGUGGCGGCGGGGGCCGUGGAGGAGAGGGAGCCCGACGAGGUGACAGAGUCCAUGGCGGCGGCGGACGGGGAGGAGUCGGUGCCGGCCACGAAGGAGACCUCGAAGCAGCUGAUAUUAAAUUGGAAACUAUAUUUCCUUGAUUGA
rnacentral:rRNA from 1 species